rnacentral:lncRNA from 1 species
CUCUCAAUGUUUUAUUUGAAUAUAAGGGUAUAUAUUGACUCUUUAUUAUAUUGUUUCUUCCUUUUAGGAAGAUUGAUGGAUCAUGUAGUCAUUGGACUGGGAUUGACAUCAGUUUUCUGUGUGAUUGUAAUCAUUAUCCUCAUCUUCACCAGAAAUACAAAGACAUUUUGAACAUUAUCAAGGUGAGUUCUUUGGUAUUACAAACUGUAGAUGAACACCUAAAAAAUUUAAAGAUUAAUACUUGUCACCAACUAUUGUGCCUCUGUCUUCUACCAAUCUUGACUUCUGUCAUGUUGAUGCUGUUUUUAUUCACGUUAACAGUGAGUUUUGCACAGCAUAUUGGACUUGACAACACAACUACCGAAUGUGAUCAGGAUCAAGAUGGAGUUACGUUGAAUUAUGCUGCAUUGAAUUUCUCUGAGAGGAAAACUAAAACAGGAAGAAAGAAGAGAGACACCACAGGAGACUGUGUACUCGGAUGUCAGGUGUUCAGACUGGGACUGAACGUUGUUUAUGAGCAGAGGAAUGGAUGUAGUUUGGUCAAGAAACUCUUGUUAAUAUAGAUGUACAGUAUAUAAUGUAUUCAGACAGUCAUGACAUUUGAUACACUAUAAUGUAUCAUAGAAUAAGCUUGUUCUUCUAGGAGUGUUCUCUAUCAGAGCACCACUGUUAUGGAGCGGCUUGUCCUGUGAGUUAGAGGGCCAGAAACCAUUGAGGUCUUUAAAUCAUGCCGGACAAUCCACCUUUUUAGUUUGGCCUUUAAUCUUAAUCUGUGAUUGUAUUGUUAUUUUAGACUUUAGUGAUUCUAUGUUCUUCUCUUGUAUCAUAUCUAUUGUAUCUUAGCCAUUUGUUUAGAUACACUGUUUAACUGUGAGCCAAUUUAGUGGCCUUGUGCUUAUUGUCUACCAUGAGAUUAGAAGGUUGAGGGUUUGAUCCCCGGUCGAGUAAUACCAAUUAUUCUAAAAAUGGGAACGAAGGCCUCUCUGCUUGGCACUCAGCAUAAAGGAGAUGGAUUGGGUUAACAAUAAUGUACAAUUGUAUUAUGGUUCUAAUUUUAUUGUUUUAAUAAUUUUUCCUUAAUGUAUGAUUGUUGUGGUAUUUACUGUAACCCAUGAAACAUACAAUAAGAU